rnacentral:lncRNA from 1 species
GUGCACCUAGCUCAGGAAGCCUUCCUUUCUAGUCUCUACAGCUGUUUCCCUCUUUUCCCAUCUCAUUCUUCCCUCUUCAUUUCUGGCCUAUCUUUUAACAUCUCCAUCCCUUUGAUGCCUCAUCCAUCUCCUCUUCACCGUCUUGUCUUUGCCUGUUCCCUUUUCUGCUUCUCUGCUCCUCUUAAGGCUGGGUUUUCCUCCUGCGUCUCCUCUGUGCGCCUGUGAGUGUCCCCUGUCUGCUCAUCCUCUCUCCCUCUGUCCACCUGUUUCUCUUUCUUCCAGCGUUUCUCCAUCUCACGCGCUGCCUCUGUCAUUUUCUCUCUUUCUUCGUCUUUCUCUCUCUCUCAUUGUUCUGAGACAUAGCAGUGCCUGGCCCAGCGGGGACAACAUGUUUCACAGACAAAUCAUCCAACAAAAGAGAGGAGGAACGUGCUUCAGCUGGCUGUCCCCAUGCCUUCUGCUCCCGCUUCUGGAAGGGAAGACAGGGCAGGGACCAUGUCCAGCUGCAGAAAAUCCCAGUGUUUUUCUGUGGCAUUGCCUGGUAAAGGCUGAACGUGGCUUUCGUGAGAGCUAAUCUGCCUGCCCAACCAGAUUGUGCUGUGGCUAAAAUUGCUGUGAGCUCGACAGUGCCUGAAGACUGGAGAAAACUGAGCCAUGUCUUGGAUGCUCUUGCGGGGCCUAGGGGAGUGCCAGGCCAGAAGGAGAACUGCCUGUGGACUCUCAGUAGGAAAGCAGCUAACGAGGUGAUGAGUGAGUGUCGCCUGGAAGUCUGGGGGCCAUUCCAUGUGGGUCACAUCGCCUGACCAGAGGGUUGGGUGCCUGGACAGGGCUGAGCUUGGGACUCCUUCCAGGGCCUGGCCUCAGCUGCUGGGCCUGCCGAGCAUGCCCCACAAGCACCCACGCACACAUACAAGUAUGGAGGCAGAGUGGAAGUUUGACUUUUGCAGAUCUCGUACAGCCUGGAGUAGAGAAGAGAAUUGGGAACUCUCAAUGUUGUGUGACCCUAGGCAAGUCCCUUCCCUGCCUUGUGCCUCAGUUUCCCUUUACAUACCAUGAGGAUGUUCCCAGUGUUGGUGUUUUAAUGCCUGCAGACAAGCUAAGCUCAUCAUCUGGUUCCCGGAAGAGAUCCUCCUUUUGUGGAAAGGCCACAGCCACUCUGCCACCCUGAGGCUCCCACUCCUCCUUCUCUGGAACCCUCUCCCUUGCCUGUAGGUCACGGGAAUGUCAAGAGCACCCAGGGAAGUGCCUGCUGCCAGUCAUCACUCACUGAUUAUGUGACAGCAGAGGAGCCAAGAAGCUGCUGGGAAUCGAGACACCCCCCCAUUCAGUCCCCACCAUCUCUGUCUUCAUGAGGUUCCCUGGGAGAAGCUCCUAUGUCUGGGAAUGGAAAUGUCUCCACCUGGAUAGGGACAAACAGGAGCUGGGGGCUGCAUCUUAAGACUUCUUGUCCCAUUAGUGCUGACCUCUGGAGACGGCUCCUGAAUUGUGCCCACUCCCCCACCUCCUCACCACACACAUGCUCUGGGCCGUGCGAGGCUCAGCUUGUCACGGACAAGCUAAAAUGAGGUGGCCUGAAUGCCCCUUAUCAUAGACAGCUUAUCUCCUGUGGUCACUCACCUGACAGACUCCAGAGAGCCACUCAGCGGGCCUCUCCCAGCCGCCUGCUUCUCAGCUCUGACUCUCCCUUGCCUUAAGGGGACACUGGAUUCCAGUGACCCUCCUAUUGGUCAGAGUUGGGCUGAGCACAGAGAAGGGGUAGAAUGCUCCUGGGAACUCGGAAAGCUCUGGGAUGCCAGCUUUUCCCACAUGUUCUCACUCACCCCUCUGUAAUACAGAUUCUGCAGCCCUGCCCCCCACACACACACUCCUACACCUCUGCUCUCAAAGUGAAGAAGUAGGCUAAUAUCUGUGGUACAUUUAUUUACCUACUCCCUGAGACUGCAGCUCCCUUAGUCAGUGUUGUGUCCUCCACUCAGGCUGGGGCUCCCUGAGGAUGGGGCUGUGUCUCCCCUCAGACUGGGGUUCCCCAAGGACAGGGCUGUGUCUCUCCUUAGGCUGGGGUCCCUGAGGGUGGGGCUGUGUCUCCCUGCAGAUUGGGGCUCCCUGAGGAUGGGGCUGUGUCUCCCUGAAGACUGGGGCUCCCUGAGGACAGGGCUGUGUCUCCCCUCAGGCUGGGGCUCCUUGAGGAUGGGACACUUUAAAGAAGAGAAAUUGACAGGUUGACCCUGGGGGAUCUUUGGGUCAAUAAAACAUUCUAUAGACCCUCAGUGGUCAGACUAGG